UUCAAAGGUGUUUCCUUGUUCAGUAGGCAGGAAUGCUGAAACUAACGUUGAAUCUUUAAGUAGUGUCUCUCAUCAGAAGCCUGUACACAAACGACCAUUGUUACUAGAACAAGCUUUUUUUUUCUUUUUCAGGUAAUGAUCACCUGACAUUUAACUACAGGAACCUGUUUUGGAAGAAUUAUAGCCUUAAGGGCAGGUGCGCUGGUUAUACAGGAGUUCAUCCAUUUUUCCACUGUAGAUGUGAAAGCCUUUGACAUAUACAAGCCCUUUUUUCACUUUACUGUGCUGCACGCUCACAUAUUUUCAAGGCUCGACUGUCCAGUUCAUCAUCCUGGAAUGAAUGCAUGUUUACUCCAGCUGAUCCUCUGA
rnacentral:lncRNA from 1 species